rnacentral:rRNA from 1 species
AUUGAACGCUGGCGGCAGGCCUAACACAUGCAAGUCGAACGGUAACAGGAAACAGCUUGCUGUUUCGCUGACGAGUGGCGGACGGGUGAGUAAUGUCUGGGAAACUGCCUGAUGGAGGGGGAUAACUACUGGAAACGGUAGCUAAUACCGCAUAACGUCGCAAGACCAAAGAGGGGGACCCUGGGGCCUCUUGCCUUCGGAUUUGCCCAGAUGGGAUUAGCUUGUUGGUGGGGUAACGGCUCACCAAGGCGACGAUCCCUAGCUGGUCUGAGAGGAUGACCAGCCACACUGGAACUGAGACACGGUCCAGACUCCUACGGGAGGCAGCAGUGGGGAAUAUUGCACAAUGGGCGCAAGCCUGAUGCAGCCAUGCCGCGUGUAUGAAGAAGGCCUUCGGGUUGUAAAGUACUUUCAGCGGGGAGGAAGGGAGUAAAGUUAAUACCGUUGCUCAUUGACGUUACCCGCAGAAGAAGCACCGGCUAACUCCGUG